CGUGACCUUUUAAUCAGGAUAGGCUGAGAUUGAAGUUUUUGUACAAAAUAAAUUUGCUUUGGAAGGAUUUGCCAGAGACCACCCUGGGGGAAUGUUCGAUGGUUCAGUUGGAGAUCAUGGGAUUUGGAGUCAGGUGACUGCUUAGCUGCCAAUGAGUGUCCUCAACAUCCAGACCAUGCAGGGACAGCUGUGUUCCAUAAAAGCCUGUCUGGGGAGGAGAUUCCUGCCACAUUUCCCUCAAGCCUUUUUAAAAAUAUGAAUUUCUUUUCACACCUAGUCUGAUUUUGCCCAUUGUAGAUGAAAUUAUUCAAGGAGGAAUUAUUUUGUAUAGAAAAUAGUGAAACUGGGAAAAAAGCAAACAUGCACACCUUUAUCACAGGAGGACAUCCCUGAAAUCUCCAGGUGGGUUAAUGGCCUUUCCCCUGAGUUCCCUUCUGCUGUCAUAAUCAACCAAUAA